GCUAGGCACAGUGGUGUGUACCUAUAAUCUCAGCUACUUGGGAGGCUGAGGUGGGAGGAUCACUUGAGCCCAGGAGUUCUGGGCUGUAGUGCACUAUGCAAGUCAGUUGGCUGCACUAGCUUUGGCAUCAAUAUGGUUACCUCCUGGGAGUGGGGGACCACCAGGUUGCCUAAGGAGGGGUAAACUGGCCAAGAUCGGAAACAGAGCAGGUCAAAACUCCCCUGCUAACCAGUAGUGGGAUCAUGCCUGUAAAAAGGCAUGGCACUCUGGGCAACAUGGCAAGACCCUAUCACA
rnacentral:SRP_RNA from 1 species